UGGGGAAUAUUGCACAAUGGGCGAAAGCCUGAUGCAGCGACGCCGCGUGAAGGAUGAAGUAUUUCGGUAUGUAAACUUCUAUCAGCAGGGAAGAAAAUGACGGUACCUGACUAAGAAGCCCCGGCUAACUACGUGCCAGCAGCCGCGGUAAUACGUAGGGGGCAAGCGUUGUCCGGAAUUACUGGGUGUAAAGGGAGCGUAGGCGGGGGUACAAGUUGAAUGUUUAACCUAUCGGCUCAACCGAUAGUCGCGUUCAAAACUGUAUCUCUUGAGUGGAGUAGAGGCAGGCGGAAUUCCUAGUGUAGCGGUGAAAUGCGUAGAUAUUAGGAGGAACACCAGUGGCGAAGGCGGCCUGCUGGGCUCUAACUGACGCUGAGGCUCGAAAGCGUGGGUAGCAAACAGGAUUAGAUACCCUGGUAGUCCACGCUGUAAACGAUGAUGACUAGGUGUGGGGGGACUGACCCCUUCCGUGCCGGAGUUAACACAAUAAGUCAUCCACCUGGGGAGUACGGUCGCAAGACUGAAACUCAAAGGAAUUGACGGGGGCCCGCACAAGCAGUGGAGUAUGUGGUUUAAUUCGAAGCAACGCGAAGAACCUUACCAAGUCUUGACAUCCGUUGACCGCUGUAGAAAUACAGUUUUCCUUCGGGACAGCGAGACAGGUGGUGCAUGGUUGUCGUCAGCUCGUGUCGUGAGAUGUUGGGUUAAGUCCCGCAACGAGCGCAACCCUUAUCCUCAGUAGCCAGCGGUUCGGCCGGGCACUCUGUGGAGACUGCCAGGGAUAACCUGGAGGAAGGUGGGGAUGACGUCAAAUCAUCAUGCCCCUUAUGACUUGGGCUACACACGUGCUACAAUGGCGUAAACAAAGGGAAGCGAGAGAGCGAUCUGGAGCAAAUCCCAAAAAUAACGUCCCAGCUCGGAUUGUAGUCUGCAACUCGACUACAUGAAGCUGGAAUCGCUAGUAAUCGCGAAUCAGAAUGUCGCGGUGAAUACGUUCCC
rnacentral:rRNA from 1 species